rnacentral:rRNA from 1 species
AGGGUUUGAUUAUGGCUCAGGAUGAACGCUGGCGGCGUGCUUAACACAUGCAAGUCGAGCGAAGCGCUUAACUUUGAUUUCUUCGGGAUGAAGAGUUCUGUGACUGAGCGGCGGACGGGUGAGUAACGCGUGGGUAACCUGCCUCAUACAGGGGGAUAACAGUUAGAAAUGACUGCUAAUACCGCAUAAGACUACGGUACCGCAUGGUACAGUAGUAAAAACUCCGGUGGUAUGAGAUGGACCCGCGUCUGAUUAGUUAGUUGGUGGGGUAACGGCCUACCAAGACGACGAUCAGUAGCCGGCCUGAGAGGGCGACCGGCCACAUUGGGACUGAGACACGGCCCAA